rnacentral:tRNA from 1 species
CUCGUAGCCAAGUGGUAAGGCACGGGACUGCAACUCCCUGAUCGCUGGUUCAAAUCCGGUCGGG